CCUGGGUGAUGAGGUGGAGGCAGCAGCUGCGGCAGAACUAGCCUCUACUCAAGCUGCACAGCAUAGAAUCCAGGUGAAAACCUCCAUCCAAGCGCAGCUUCGGGCUCCCUAACCCUUGUACUUCACUCUGCACAGCAUGGGGUUUUCACAGUGCUCAUAAGGCCAGGAAGAUUGACAUCACCUUUUAAAUCUGGAACAGCCACCCAGCAGCUGCCUUUGCUCACGUGGGCCCACAGGCAUAAUCAUUCUAAGAAGUCUACAGUGUGCUGGGCGGGACGGCUUGUGCCUAUUACCCAAGCACUCAGGAGACUGAAGAGGAAGAUCAUGAGUUCAAGGACAGUUUGGGCUAUGGACUGAGAUUGGGCCAGCCUGAGCUACAGAGUGAGAUCCUGUAUCAAAUAAUGUCUACA